AUUGAACGCUGGCGGCAGGCCUAACACAUGCAAGUCGAGCGGAUGAAGGGAGCUUGCUCCUGGAUUCAGCGGCGGACGGGUGAGUAAUGCCUAGGAAUCUGCCUGGUAGUGGGGGAUAACGUCCGGAAACGGGCGCUAAUACCGCAUACGUCCUGAGGGAGAAAGUGGGGGAUCUUCGGACCUCACGCUAUCAGAUGAGCCUAGGUCGGAUUAGCUAGUUGGUGGGGUAAAGGCCUACCAAGGCGACGAUCCGUAACUGGUCUGAGAGGAUGAUCAGCCACCCUGGAACGGAGACACGGUCCAUACUCCUACGGGAGGCAGCAGUGGGGAAUAUUGGGCAAUGGGCGAAAGCCUGAUCCAGCCAUGCCGCGUGUGUGAAGAAGGUCUUCGGAUUGUAAAGCACUUUAAGUUGGGAGGAAGGGCAGUAAGUUAAUACCUUGCUGUUUUGACGUUACCAACAGAAUAAGCACCGGCUAACUUCGUG
rnacentral:rRNA from 1 species